rnacentral:ncRNA from 1 species
UUGGGAGAAAAUUAGAAAAUCUUAGUUUGCCUGUUGAUGUACAGUGUUUUGCUGCCAUGGACGGCAGCAAAAGUCUUAAUGUCCCAUGGAUGGGACGUUUAAGACGUACACGUCACUUUGAGAGAAUUUAACACAGGCAGGCUUAGAUUUUCUUAUUUUCGGAC